ACUGUAAUAAGACGACUUUUAUACAUAGCUGACAGUACGCAACCUCAGUUCAGGCGCAAGGUUGAAACAACAACUUUUGAAGACUGGCCAUGAAUAUCUAGAUAGUACUACACCAUCUACAUAGUUUGUAAUCAAUAUAAUUUGCAUAUUAUUCUUCGCACACCUUUAUAACCAUAGCACAACAGGACAAUAGCUCAUCGACUCUUUAACAACAACUGAUGUUCAC
rnacentral:lncRNA from 7 species